GAUGAACGCUGGCGGUAUGCUUAACACAUGCAAGUCGAACGGUCACUUCGGUUGAUAGUGGCGGACGGGUGAGUAACGCGUGAGAAUCUGUCUUCAGGUCGGGGACAACAGUUAGAAAUGACUGCUAAUACCGGAUGUGCCGAAAGGUGAAAGAUUUAUUGCCUGAAAGAGAGCUCGCGUCAGAUUAGCUAGUAGGUGGUAUAAGAGACUACCUAGGCGUCGAUCUGUAGCUGGUCUGAGAGGACGAUCAGCCACACUGGAACUGAGACACGGUCCAGACUCCUACGGGAGGCAGCGAGUGGGGAAUUUUCCGCAAUGGGCGAAAGCCUGACGGAGCAAUACCGCGUGAGGGACAAGGCUUUUGGGUCGUAAACCUCUUUUCUCAAGGAAGACACAGGACGAUACUUGAGGAAUAAGCAUCGGCUAACUCUGUGCCAGCAGCCGCGGUAAU
rnacentral:rRNA from 1 species